AAUAGAUACCCUGGUAGUCCACGCCGUAAACGAUGGGCACUAGGUCCUUGGGGGAGCGACCCCUUGAGGGCCGGCGCAAACGCAUUAAGUGCCCCGCCUGGGGAGUACGGCCGCAAGGCUGAAACUCAAAGGAAUUGACGGGGGCCCGCACAAGCGGUGGAGCAUGUGGUUUAAUUCGACGCAACGCGAAGAACCCUACCUGGGUUUGACAUGGCCGGGAAUUUCCGGGGAAACCUGGAAAGCUCUUCGGAGCUCGGUCACAGGUGCUGCAUGGCUGUCGUCAGCUCGUGUCGUGAGAUGCUGGGUUAAGUCCCGCAACGAGCGCAACCCUUGUCACUAGUUACCAGCGGGUAAAGCCGGGAACUCUAGUGAGACUGCCGGUGCCAAACCGGAGGAAGGUGGGGACGACGUCAAGUCAUCAUGGUCCUUACGUCCAGGGCUACACACGUGCUACAAUGGAUGGGACAAUGGGUCGCCAAAGCGCAAGCUGGAGCCAAUCCCAUAAAUCCAUCCUCAGUUCGGAUUGUCGUCUGCAACUCGACGGC
rnacentral:rRNA from 1 species